UUCUGGACUUAGCAGGGCUCUUGUAAAAAAAAAAAGGAGCUGCGUGGGCCGAGCCAGGCAGUUGUGGCCUGGGGCUUCAGGGGUAAAGACUGGCUUCCUAGCUGGUAAAAGAGGUGCUAGCACCAUGGACAGAGCAGUUGCUGGCAGGGAUUAAGGGAGUGGAGGCCCUGAAGUAAGGGUGAAGUAGGUUCUGGACUUGUGGGGAAGCGGCCCAGGGAAAUGUGCUGAACAGUUAGAAGGGAUGGAGCAAGAGGCUGCCCCUAGGGGGUCCCUGGGUUGGCACCUGGAGUAGUGGACAGAUCCUCCCCUCUUAACCACUGAGAGAAAUGACUGGGCAAAUGGACUGCAAUGUACUGACCCCCAGAAGGGGGAGAAACAGACAGUGACGUGACUGAAGGACUGAGUCAUGAAGAGCGUGCAGCGGUUCCUGGAGAGACUGCCAGUGGAGACAGAGCGAUGGGGUGCAAACUAUGGAUGUGGGGCAUUGUCCUUGAGCAAAUACCCACAGCAACUAGGAGAAGGACCCAGUCCAGUGGACAGGACCUAGGUAACAGGAUGAGGAUCAAUGGACCACUACCAUGUCUUGCAGCUCUGAGGACCCUCGCAAUGACAGGACAGCUCCGGAUCCCAUCCAAAGAAAAGAUGGCAAGCAACUUACCUAGGUCUUUCUUCACCUAAGGAGCUGGAGAAGAUCUGAGGAGUGGUCAUGAACAUGUUAGAAGAAGAUGGAUGGUCUUGUGGCUACAGCCCUACAGUGGCACUUGAAAAACUUGACUUGAAUUCCUGCUUCUGCCACAGACUUCUUGUGUGAUCUGGGAAAAGUACCUAUGGCCCUGAUACAGCUACACAUGUUGCACUUAAGUCCUGUUGAUUUUGAUGAGACUUCAGCACAUCCAUAAAUGCUUCGCUGAAUCAAGGCCUGUAUCACUGGGACUUCUUCAUGAGAAUGAAGGCAAAAUACAGCCACCAAAGGCAGGUUCAAAGUAAGAGGAAAGAGUAUUUCCUAUGCUGUUCAAUAGCAUCCAGGUUUCCUGUUGUAAGCUUUUGUAGGUAACUGCCCAGUUAGUCUAGUAAAAGACACAGGCUAUAAAGUAAGCACGGGUAUCUGUGUAAACUACAAUUAUCCCUGCAAUCUCUCACACAAAGCCCCCUGAAUUUGGUAAGAAUCUUUCCAUUAACUUCAAUGGGCUUGGAAUCAGGCCUUUAGACUAAAAUUACUUGUGGUGCCAUUUUUAUUUUGCAUCUGCUGUUUAGAAUUUUAAGGAGUGUUCAUGGUGAGCCUCUUUCCUCAUUGCUGGGAUGAGAUGGUCAGAAUUUCCCUCUCUUGUUGCCUUCUUGCUUGUUCUUUGGCCAUUGUAUGAGGCUUUCCCACUCCACACCUAGCGCUGGGCAGCUCUAACCGGGGAAACUUUGUCUCCAAUUUCCUUUGGCAUCAAAUGUUAAAAAAAUAAGGGACUUCAAAUUCUGACACAAAAGGCCAAGAUUUGUAGACAAUAGGCUGGAUUCACUCUUGCCUCUGCAUGGGCAGUUGUGCUGAAGAAGGCGUACACAAAGGCCAGGUACUACAACUGGCCUCCCCUGUGGGUUCUGCCAGGGAGAGCAGUUUAAUGUUCUAGACACAGAUGGGGGAUGCACUGGCCCCAUUCUUUCCUCACCUGACCCCAUCAUUUUCUGUCUUGGGAGCCUUCUCCCCACAAUCACACAGUGUGGCACUGUCCCCCCCUCUAGUCGUGGCUGCACCACCUACAGAGAUUGAAGCCAUGACAGCCUUUGCUAGCCUCAUUGGGUCCUUCAGUUCAGGCAGUGGGGGCUUGUGCUUUAAGAUCCAGAGCUCUCAGGUUCAAUCCCAGCAGCUGAUGACCUGUCUAGGAGCACAGCAUUACAUGCGCAAUUGUGCAGCUGUACCUCCACUCUGUGCACCACCCAGGAAUUACAUCUACCACGUAAAUGUCUUGUGAUGCUGGCUACAACAGUGCCAUGUGAACACCUGUUCUCAUUUUCAGGUGACAAUGCAAA